rnacentral:lncRNA from 1 species
UCAAAGAUGACAGUAUCAAGAUAGAAAAAGGAUUCUAUGUCCCUUUUAUUUUCCAACGACCGUCGUCGCCGUAAUAAUGGUCUGUCAGCUCCACCGCCGCUUCCGUCAAUCUCCCAAGCCUCAUCCCUGAAAUUGAAUUCUUCUCCCCAUCCCAUCUCAUUCCACCCCGACUCGUCUAUCUAAGUCAUGGAUUCGUUAUAUUUAACCCCUGUAUGAUACGUUACGCCAUGGAUUCGAAUUAGGUCAGCUGAAUCCACAAAUUACCGAUUCAGGAAGCUACCUACCUCGAUGAAGAAUAAGCACUGUUAGUAAUCAUCGACUCAUUCUUACGCUUCAGACAGUAGUUUAAGUUGAUGAAGCGCAAAGUGGUAGGACCGCUCCUCUCACUAUUCUCAGUUUUCGUCAUCGCCGUCGCCAAAUCAUCACAGCCGUGGGAAUCGAUCGCGAUCUGGAAGACCUUGGAAGAUGGCACAUCCCGGAUCGACAAGCACA